AAAUUGAAGAGUUUGAUCAUGGCUCAGAUUUGAACGCUGGCGCAGGCCUAACACAUGCAAGUCGAGCGGAAACGAGUUAUCUGAACCUUCGGGGAACGAUAACGGCGAUCGAGCGCGGACGGUGAGUAAUGCCUAGGAAAUUGCCCUGAUGUGGGGGAUAACCAUUGGAAACGAUGGCUAAUACCGCAUAACGCCUACGGGCCAAAGAGGGGGACCUUCGGGCCUCUCGCGUCAGGAUAUGCCUAGGUGGGAUUAGCUAGUUGGUGAGGUAAUGGCUCACCAAGGCGACGAUCCCUAGCUGGUCUGAGAGGAUGAUCAGCCACACUGGAACUGAGACACGGUCCAGACUCCUACGGGAGGCAGCAGUGGGGAAUAUUGCACAAUGGGCGCAAGCCUGAUGCAGCCAUGCCGCGUGUGUGAAGAAGGCCUUCGGGUUGUAAAGCACUUUCAGUCGUGAGGAAGGUAGUGUAGUUAAUAGCUGCAUUAUUUGACGUUAGCGACAGAAGAAGCACCGGCUAACUCCGUGCCAGCAGCCGCGGUAAUACGGAGGGUGCGAGCGUUAAUCGGAAUUACUGGGCGUAAAGCGCAUGCAGGUGGUUUGUUAAGUCAGAUGUGAAAGCCCGGGGCUCAACCUCGGAAUAGCAUUUGAAACUGGCAGACUAGAGUACUGUAGAGGGGGGUAGAAUUUCAGGUGUAGCGGUGAAAUGCGUAGAGAUCUGAAGGAAUACCGGUGGCGAAGGCGGCCCCCUGGACAGAUACUGACACUCAGAUGCGAAAGCGUGGGGAGCAAACAGGAUUAGAUACCCUGGUAGUCCACGCCGUAAACGAUGUCUACUUGGAGGUUGUGGCCUUGAGCCGUGGCUUUCGGAGCUAACGCGUUAAGUAGACCGCCUGGGGAGUACGGUCGCAAGAUUAAAACUCAAAUGAAUUGACGGGGGCCCGCACAAGCGGUGGAGCAUGUGGUUUAAUUCGAUGCAACGCGAAGAACCUUACCUACUCUUGACAUCCAGAGAACUUUCCAGAGAUGGAUUGGUGCCUUCGGGAACUCUGAGACAGGUGCUGCAUGGCUGUCGUCAGCUCGUGUUGUGAAAUGUUGGGUUAAGUCCCGCAACGAGCGCAACCCUUAUCCUUGUUUGCCAGCGAGUAAUGUCGGGAACUCCAGGGAGACUGCCGGUGAUAAACCGGAGGAAGGUGGGGACGACGUCAAGUCAUCAUGGCCCUUACGAGUAGGGCUACACACGUGCUACAAUGGCGCAUACAGAGGGCAGCAAGCUAGCGAUAGUGAGCGAAUCCCAAAAAGUGCGUCGUAGUCCGGAUUGGAGUCUGCAACUCGACUCCAUGAAGUCGGAAUCGCUAGUAAUCGUGGAUCAGAAUGCCACGGUGAAUACGUUCCCGGGCCUUGUACACACCGCCCGUCACACCAUGGGAGUGGGCUGCAAAAGAAGUAGGUAGUUUAACCUUCGGGAGGACGCUUACCACUUUGUGGUUCAUGACUGGGGUGAAGUCGUAACAAGGUAGCGCUAGGGGAACCUGGCGCUGGAUCACCUCCUUAAACGAUGAU
rnacentral:rRNA from 1 species